AGACGUCACGAGAAAUCAGAUGAACCUCGACUUGCUCUUAAACAUUUUGCAGCAGCGUUCAAGCUCUGUGACAAUGAUGCAAGGUUACGUACGAAGAUUCGUAAUUGUUACAAAUUGAUGAAGAAACCUUCCUCUGGCGCAACCUGACUUCCUGAAGAUAGGUGUUGAAAUUUUUUUACAAAAGUAAAUUUAUUUAGUUUAUUAGUCGAUAGAUAGUUGAGUUAACAAUGUAAGUUUCAAUCAAACACUAAUCAAGAUUUUUUAUUAUGAUUUAUCACGAUUAGUCACUAUUUUGCAGUUACAUAAUGAUGCAAUUUAGCAGGGCCAUACACAGGAUUUUUUUCAUCAGGGGGUGAAAGGCCUGUGCGAAAAAUGUACCAAAUAUCCAAAUAAUAAUUAAUGACAUUCUAAAAAUCGUAAAUAUAGUUUUCUAUAGUUGUGUAUGGCCCUGCAAUUUAGUAUUAAAUAAUAUAAGAUUUAUAUUUUCAUAGGGAGGAACAUUACAUCGGCACAAGUUUAAAUUUUCACGUUAUGAUAAAGUUUAUGUAUGUGACAGAUACUAGUUCAUAAUU